GAGGAAUAUUGCGCAAUGGGGGCAACCCUGACGCAGCAACGCCGCGUGAGUGAGGAAGGUUUUCGGACCGUAAAGCUCUGUCGAGCGGGAAGAAAUGUAUCAUGGCUGAUAUCCAUGGUAUUUGACGGUACCGCUAAAGGAAGCACCGGCUAACUCCGUGCCAGCAGCCGCGGUAAUACGGGGGGUGCAAGCGUUGUUCGGAAUUAUUGGGCGUAAAGAGCGUGUAGGCGGCUGAAUAAGUCAGAUGUGAAAUCCCCGGGCUUAACCCUGGAAGUGCAUUUGAAACUAUUCGGCUUGAGUAAGGGAGAGGAAAGUGGAAUUCCUGGUGUAGAGGUGAAAUUCGUAGAUAUCAGGAGGAACACCGGUGGCGAAGGCGACUUUCUGGCCCUAUACUGACGCUGAGACGCGAGAGCGUGGGUAGCAAAC
rnacentral:rRNA from 1 species